GUAAUUUCCAAUGGCGUUUACAUUAAACGAUUCGAGUCACCUUACCGAGAUUUUCGAAACAUCUUAAGUAGUUGCAACUAGAGUCAGUUAGUACAAUAUCAUGGCUUUAAAAAUAAUAAUAGCAGGGAUUCUCGCCCUGUGUUUCUGUUUUUUGGAAUUCGCCAGCGGUGCCUCAGUGUGUCCUCAGGACGUGGGCGAAGUCCGACAAGUUGUCCCCACACCUAUUGGAGGCUCGGUUGUUUCAGCACUCAGUGCUCAAUGUUUGAAGACAGAAACUGGUUGAAUGGAAUAAAUAAAUGUAAUUUAAAAACAGUAACGAGCUCGCUCGCUAUCGCUAUGCAUUAACGGCGAUGCAUUAAAAUCGAACCACAACUUUAACUCUUUUGUCUCUUAUUUCUAACAUUUUAACACCGUUCCAAAAAAAAGGUGGCGUAAAUGAAUGCCUCCUCCAUUUAUCAGUUAUUACAGGAUACU